ACUCCCGCCUUAGGACUAGAACAAUAUCAACGGGAAUAUUGUCGUGUUGUGAUGGUAAUAAUUAUCAAAAUUCAUGAUUAUUGAUAAUGUUUUUAAUUCAAAAGUUACGGUCUCAUUGGAUUUUUCGUUGAGGUGGAUUGUGACUGGAUUAAUUGCCAGUGAAUUGAUUUAACGCACUCUGUGAUUGUUCAAUGUGCUAUAUCGUGUGAAUAUAAGGUGCUGUACCGAAAUUUUUCAACCACGAAGAGAGAAAAGAAUUUAAUUUAAUUUUCAGUGGGUUGGAAGGUGAAUUUUUUGCAAGACUCAGGAUUAUCCAGCUGAAUAAAUCGAAAAUUCCACCGAGAUUAUAGUAAACGUAAUAAUCUCAAAGGAAAGAAGCGAUGAGGAUGCGAAGGCAAUCGAGAAUACGAAAAUGUGAAGGUGAAAUGACCUGAGAUGAAAACCCUGGAUUAUGUUCCACUAAAGCCAGGGUUUUAAUAAAAUAAAUUUAAUGACGAUAAUGAACGAGAGUGAAAUAUACCUCCUCGGUUGGGACGAGUCGUCCAUGCUGACCCGUGACCUCAAUCGCACGUACUACAAUUCAAGCUACAUAGUAAAUGACACGUACAAUGAUCUGUGGGAUUUAGCAACAGAUCGUGCUGGUCUAGCUGUUGUACUAUUAUUAUUCUCAGUAGCAACUGUAUUUGGUAAUUCACUGGUGAUACUUGCUGUUGUGCGUGAACGUUAUCUUCAUACAGCGACAAAUUAUUUUGUCACAUCAUUAGCAUUUGCCGAUUGCCUUGUUGGCCUAGUGGUAAUGCCAUUCAGUGCAGUGUACGAGGUACUUGAAAAUCGUUGGCUAUUCACAAUGGAUUGGUGUGAUGUAUGGCGAUCUCUUGAUGUAUUAUUUUCAACUGCAUCAAUACUCAAUCUUUGUGUUAUAAGUCUAGACAGAUAUUGGGCAAUAACUGAUCCAUUUACUUAUCCAACUCGAAUGAGUAGAAAAAGGGCUGCUAUACUUAUAGCUAUAGUAUGGGUAUGCUCAAGUGCAAUAUCAUUUCCAGCAAUAGCAUGGUGGAGGGCCGUUAGAACUGAGGAAGUACCGAAAGACAAGUGUCCAUUCACCGAAAAUCUUGGUUAUCUUAUAUUCUCAUCAACAAUUAGCUUUUACCUACCCCUCUUUGUCAUGGUAUUCACAUACUACAGAAUAUAUCGUGCUGCUGUUAUACAAACAAGAAGUCUUAAACUUGGUACAAAACAAGUGAUGAUGGCAUCGGGUGAAUUGGAGCUAACACUUAGAAUACACAGAGGUGGUGCUACCAAUACUGAUGCUAGACAUCUGUUCAGAACAGCAUCAAGUACACCUGAAGAUUUACAGGAUAUGGAGGAGCCAUUGACACUCCAUAAUAAUGGAUUGAUGCGUAUGCCAUCAACGAGAAUUAAUAAUAAACAACAUCUUGGAAAAAAUUUUUCAUUAUCACGUAAAUUAGCUAAAUUUGCUAAAGAAAAAAAAGCUGCUAAGACACUUGGUAUUGUUAUGGGAGUUUUUAUUGUGUGUUGGUUACCAUUCUUUGUGGUCAAUCUAUUGUCGGGUUUCUGUACGCGAUGCAUUUGGAAUGAGGAAAUUAUAUCGGCCGCUGUAACGUGGCUUGGAUGGAUCAACAGCGGAAUGAAUCCAGUCAUUUAUGCCUGCUGGAGUAGAGAUUUUCGACGGGCUUUUGUCAGGAUACUGUGUGCGUGCUGUCCGAGGAAAAUGAGGAGAAAGUAUCAGCCGGCAUUCAGGUGCAAACCCAGUCAGAUGAAAAAAAUACGACGAAAGCAGUCGAAAAAACUUUUGGUAUGAUUAAUUGAAUUAACCCAGUGAGAUAGGUACCUAACCUGUAGAUUUUAAAAAACCAAGAUAGUGUUGAAAGUUUGUCAGGAGUUAGCAUGAAUCCCUUACCAUUGCUCAAGUAAUUAGAGAUUAACUUCCACCCUGAUUACACAAGAUACACGACGUAAUCUUCAACUACAUAAAAACUUUUAUACUUAAAUCCGGUGAAAAAAAAAAAGAAAAAAUACACCAGUAAACAUCACCCUGAGUCCCAUAAAAAUGUGAAUUACUCAUUCCCUUGAUUAAUCAAGGGUAAUUAUGCUCAAUUGAUUUGUGAGAUAAUAAAGCGUCCAAAUUGACCCGUGUUUAUCUACCUCAACUACACCCAUCGUCUCCUUUACAAUAAACACCACCCAUUAUUGUCUCCUACUUUUUCCCCUCGCUGUUAAUUCCCCUCGAUAAACAUCUUAGUGUAUCCGCCUUUAUACAAAUGCACUCCAUGCAACUACCGCUCGUUUCAUGGUAAUUCCCGUCCGACCGCAGAUCGAUACAAACCACUGGGUGAGCUCCGUUAUACAAUCAAUGACGGAUAGAAAUCUUUAAUCCGAUCGUGCUCAAUUCCAUCGGUUUUUGAUAUACCCAUGGAGUUGUGAUGUGUCACGUAUCUCAUUUGGACAAUUAUAUGAGAAGAUACUUCUUCGGAAAUGAAAGAAAAAAAAAAAAUCUGAGUCAUUCGGUUUCAAUUAAAGAAAGUGCACGACAGGACUGAGAGAAUAGAUUUUUAUUAUCCAGGAUAAAUCACUGAUUUCACGAGAUCCAACAGUGAUUACUACAAACGUAUCACUGAUUAUCAGGAAAUUAUUUAUCUAAACUUCAGAUCAAAUUCAAUGAAAUAUUGAACAGUCAACUACCCGUCGUAAUGAAAAAAAAAUAUAUAAAACUCAAUCGUGGUUUAUGUAAAGAGAAAAAGGCGGUCAACUUUGGAUAUGCAAAACUCUCAAAGCCCCAACUAAAAAUAAAAAUACCGGCCAUGUUGAAGUUUGUGAAAGUUGUGUGGUUUUUGCGUGUCUGUUUGUCCCCCGGAAAUUGCCUCAUUCGAGUGGGCUAGUAAUACAAUAUUUUAACGAGACAGCCCUCGCAGUAUGUGUGUGGGGUACUUUGAGAGGUGUCAUGUAAAGUGCAAAGUUUUGUGUGGAUCACAAGCAGUGUCAUCUUCAUGAAAUUUAUUAAAGCUGAAGGAGUCCACUGCCCCUGUGAAUUAAAGGGCAGGUCUUCCCCAGAAAAAUUGAAAUAAACCCAAAUUUCCCUUCACUAUUCCCUUACAAUCCAAUCUCCCCUCCAUUCAAUUAUUCAGCCUUCCAAAAAAAUUCCUUCCCAUUCGAAAAUGUGAAACACAAAUAAUAAAAUACAAAAUUCACAUAACUUUAUCUGACAUGUUAAAAAAAAAUCACCGAAAAUAAAUGAAAAUAAUAUCCUUUCCAAACGUACGAGUCACAUAAUAAAUCAUCGACAAUUAUCAACGUCAUCAAUAACCCCCACCCAACCGACAAUAUAUCGAACAUCAUCGAUCGAAAAAAAAGAGGAAAAAAAAAAUGGCGAAUAGAGAUGUCAUCAUUGAAAAAUACUUGAACAAUUAGAAAUACAAGUGACUAUCGCGCAUGGGCGUGGCGGUUGUGCUAUUUUUUUUUUUACAGAGAUUCUCGUCCAGGAAGUACUACUCUACGUGCUCACUACACCAGGCCCGACGUAGCCGUGAAAACUCCUGCGAGCAAACCUACAUUUAACGACCUAAGCGGAAACACACACGCUCUCUCGGAACUAUCUGCGUCCACUUUUCCGCACGUGUCGUCGCACUGCGUCCAGCAUAUUACCUCCAUUGUUCCACCACUCCCUUCCUCCUCCUCCUCCACCCCUCCUCCUUCUCCCCCCUCCCCCCUACCCUGUAUUUUUCCCCUAUUGUCCUCCCUUAUUGGAUUUCACCUCCGUUAAUUAAUUUCGGUAACAGCCCCCUUGUUCCCUUUUUUAUUUCUCCCGCCAUAUCUGUUUUGUUUUAACUCCUUUUUUUUUCAAGUGUCCCUGUGUACAUUGGCCUGCGUCCUUUAAUCGCCGGUGGACAAACAACCUUUAAAAAUAUUUUUGUACGUGAGUGGAAUGAGUGCUGGUGGCCAAACAAGCAGCGUUAGCUACAGCAGUGUCAGCCAGAGUAGCGACGGUGGUGCUUACGGUGGCAUCAGUGCCAGUACAUCAUCGAGUGGUGGUAUGUGACGUACUGCUGGG